rnacentral:rRNA from 1 species
UAGGGAAUCUUCGGCAAUGGACGAAAGUCUGACCGAGCAACGCCGCGUGAGUGAAGAAGGUUUUCGGAUCAUAAAACUCUGUUGGUAGAGAAGAACGUUGGUGAGAGUGGAAAGCUCAUCAAGUGACGGUAACUACCCAGAAAGGGACGGCUAACUACGUGUCAG